rnacentral:rRNA from 1 species
UACGUAGGGACCAAGCGUUGUUCGGAUUUACUGGGCGUAAAGGGCUCGUAGGCGGUUUGUCGCGUCGGGAGUGAAAACCUUGGGCUUAACUCAGGGCUUGCUUUCGAUACGGGCAGACUAGAGGUAUGCAGGGGAGAACGGAAUUCCUGGUGUAGCGGUGAAAUGCGCAGAUAUCAGGAGGAACACCGGUGGCGAAGGCGGUUCUCUGGGCAUGAUCUGACGCUGAGGAGCGAAAGUGUGGGGAGCGAACAGG